UCGCGCUUCAGUUUGAAACGAGUGAUGCGGGGAUGUGUGGAGACUGGAGGUGGUGUGAGAUGAAGAUGGAGCCUGCCGCGGGAUCAUCACAGAUGUGGAAAGAGUUCGGUAGACUGACAGGCUGGGAAGGAGAUGUCAAAGCCGACUGCGCACAGCGUCUCCGAGACGUGUUGGACCGCGUGAAGUUGGAGACCGGCUGUGGAGAUGAUACUGUGUCAGCUCUGCUGUCGCUGCUGGGUGAGGACGACGCGGUGUUCCCAACAAACAUGGAGGCGUGGCCUUGUAUUGUGGGCGAGAACCUGUGUGUGGAAAAAAACGGAGGUCGUGAAGACGAACGUGCUAAGCAGCCAGGACAAACUGCUCCUGUGGGGAAUCGUUUUCUCCGUCCUGUCACAGACAAUGACAUUCACGGCAUGCCAGUGUACGGCCACCCUCAUGAACGUUCAUGUGCUGAGGGCGGAUGAGAUAGGCUCCAUGCCAAAGAGGCUCCGAGCUGCCUGGAGUAGGCUGACUGCUCCAACUAAGUAGGUGACAAAAAGAUGACGUUCAGUUGAGUUCAUGAGCCUGCUUUCCUGUUCAUUGUGACUUGUGAGUUAGGGCUCCAGGCGGCGCGGAGUCUCUUUACCAUAGUGCUUUGGUUAUCAUACCAAGAUUGUUUAGAAAAAACAGAGUCCGGUGACCACCCGUGCACUUGAGAAAGCGCCACUCACAGUUGCCGCAAUUUUUGUUAAUAACAUUUGUUUAUUGCUCGUC